GGAUUGGUCUUCUGAAAUCCGGUUUCAGGCUUACAAAAUGCUGCAGGUUUACACUCGUAUACUACUACUCGUCUUUUUUUGGUGGAGAUUUUUUGACUCUCCUUCAAAGAUAUAUCCUGUUGAUAGUCUAAUCAAGAGAUCCUAAAACACCCUCUGCUUGAAUGUGAGGAGAAAUUCUUUAGAAAGAACCAUCUCCAAGAUCUUGAAAUGAUUCUCCUUUCAAAUUUUCUAAUUUCCUUGUUCCAAAUGCACAAAUCAGGCAUUGGGGCUGGGGCAUACUUCCAGUGGGACAAAAUUAUAAAGAUCUGACCCUUCUGUAUUUGGUCACUUCUGGUGUGUUUCAUGCAUUCUUUGUUUGCCACACAAUGGUGUUCUUUGAGGCAUUAAUUGUUGUUAUGGAAAGUCAAUCAUUAU
rnacentral:misc_RNA from 1 species